ensembl:lncRNA
CAUUUGACCUUAUUUUGAAAUGUAGACUGCAGUAACAGAGAUGCAUUGAUGGAAAGAAAAGAUCAGAGAAAACAUCCAAAUCUGCAGUUACACUGAAAAAUAACAUAACACUGUACAUUAUAACACUGUACAUUAUAACACUGUACAAUAUAACAUUCAUUCAGUUGAAGAUGAUCAAUAAAUCCUAAACACUAUCAGGCAGAUCACUGAUUGUUUAUAAUCCACAGUAAUCCAUCGUUUCUUCACCACAUGCAGUGUUUAUGGUGCAGGUUGGUUCAGUCAGUAUCAAUAAUUAUACUGUAACAGCUGAUCUUUGCAUGAGGAUUAAUUUGUGUUGUUCAAACCUCACAGAACCAGUUUGAUGUCACAAACAGCUGAACCUGAAGAUGAAACACACUCAGUGACUCUGUUAUUGUAACAUACAGGACACUGAAGUGACAAAUAAGGAGGGCAAACAAAUGAUGAACAAAGUCUGCUGACAAUCACAGAUUUGUUUAAAACGAGUUCACUCAGAAGCUGAAUAUUUUAUUUUGAAAAACCUUGAUCUUGUUUGAUGUGUAUUUGUUUGAUAAUGUGACCUCCUGUGUUCUCCACAUAUGAAGUGAGGCAGAAAUGAAAAUAACUUUAAGACUUGAAACUUACACUGGGAUGAGCAGCUAACCUGAUAAAAUAAGUCACAGAUUUCAAUGCUGUAGGUUCAUCAUGUGAAAUUUCAUGUAACAGUCUAAACAAGUCUGAUGAAAAUCAGAGAAAUGUGAAAUCAAAAAUAAAUAUGGACGUGUUUGAUGUCCCUCUGAUUGAGGUUCAGCAUUAUUAGUUUCUUUGUCUUAAAAUCAUCCUUCUUGAUUUCAGUGAAACAGAAUUUAGGACUGUGAUGAGCAAGUAGAUUCAUAGUUCAUCUUCUUAACCUUCUUUUUUUGGUAGAUCAAAAAAGAAACAACAACAACAACAACAACAACAGCAGCAACUGAUAGACCGACUUUCAGUCCAACAGAUCCAUCCUCCUUCCCUCCAGCCUCCUUCCCUCCAUCCUCUGUGUGUCCUCCUGUCUGACCUGCAGGUGAGAAACAGGUGUGAGGUGUCAGCUGUCAGGUAGGUGAUGAGUGAAGAACAGAACAGAAUCCAUUUCCUCUUCAAACUGCUGUCAGACAUUAUCUACUGCACUCUGAUCACAUCACUCAGACCAGCUGCUUUCUACAAAGUCUCAUCAACAACAUCUUUAGAAACAAACAUCAACAACCAGGAAGCAGC